CACCGCGGUCACACAAGAGACCCAAAUUAACUGUAGUACGGCGUAAAGAGUGGCACCAUGCUAUCCUACCAACUAAGAUCAAAAUGCAACUAAGCCGUCAUAAGCCAAAGAUGCAUCUAAAACCACCCUCAACACGAUCUUAGCCUCUCCGACUAAUUAAACCCCACGAAAGCUAGGGCA
rnacentral:rRNA from 1 species